UACGUAGGGACCAAGCGUUGUUCGGAUUUACUGGGCGUAAAGGGCGCGUAGGCGGCGUGGUAAGUCACUUGUGAAAUCUCUGAGCUUAACUCAGAACGGUCAAGUGAUACUGCUGUGCUAGAGUGCGGAAGGGGCAAUCGGAAUUCUUGGUGUAGCGGUGAAAUGCGUAGAUAUCAAGAGGAACACCUGAGGUGAAGACGGGUUGCUGGGCCGACACUGACGCUGAUGCGCGAAAGCCAUGGGAGCAAACGGG
rnacentral:rRNA from 1 species